rnacentral:rRNA from 1 species
GAUGAACGCUGGCGGCGUGCCUAAUACAUGCAAGUCGAGCGAACGGACGAGGAGCUUGCUUCUCUGACGUUAGCGGCGGACGGGUGAGUAACACGUGGAUAACCUACCUAUAAGACUGGGAUAACUUCGGGAAACCGUAGCUAAUACCGGAUAAUAUUUUGAACCGCAUGGUUCAAAAGUGAAAGACGGUGUUGCUGUCACUUAUAGAUGGAUCCGCGCUGCAUUAGCUAGUUGGUAAGGUAACGGCUUACCAGGGCAACGAUGCAUAGCCGACCUGAGAGGGUGAUCGGCCACACUGGAGCUGAGACACGGUCCAGACUCCUACGGGAGGCAGCAGUAGGGAAUCUUCCGCAAUGGGCGAAAGCCUGACGGAGCAACGCCGCGUGAGUGAUGAAGGUCUUCGGAUCGUAAAACUCUGUUAUUAGGGAAGAACAUAUGUGUAGGUAACUGUGCACAUCUUGACGGUACCUAAUCAGAAAGCCACGGCUAACUACGUG